rnacentral:rRNA from 1 species
GCUCAGAUUGAACGCUGGCGGCAGGCUUAACACAUGCAAGUCGAGCGGUAACAGAGAGUAGCUUGCUACUUUGCUGACGAGCGGCGGACGGGUGAGUAAUACUUGGGAAUAUGCCUUAUGGUGGGGGACAACAGUUGGAAACGACUGCUAAUACCGCAUAACGUCUACGGACCAAAGGGGGGGAUUCUUCGGAGCUCUCGCCAUUUGAUUAGCCCAAGUGAGAUUAGCUAGUAGGUGAGGUAAAGGCUCACCUAGGCGACGAUCUCUAGCUGGUUUGAGAGGAUGAUCAGCCACACUGGGACUGAGACACGGCCCAGACUCCUACGGGAGGCAGCAGUGGGGAAUAUUGCACAAUGGGCGAAAGCCUGAUGCAGCCAUGCCGCGUGUGUGAAGAAGGCCUUCGGGUUGUAAAGCACUUUCAGUUGUGAGGAAAGGUGAGUAGUUAAUAGCUGCUUGCUGUGACGUUAACAACAGAAGAAGCACCGGCU